rnacentral:rRNA from 1 species
CGUGUAGGCGGCUUUUUAAGUCUGAAGUGAAAGUCCUGCUUUCAAGGUGGGAAUUGCUUUGGAGACUGGAAGGCUUGAGUGCGGAAGAGGUAAGUGGAAUUCCCAGUGUAGCGGUGAAAUGCGUAGAGAUUGGGAGGAACACCAGUGGCGAAGGCGACUUACUGGGCCGUAACUGACGCUGAGGCGCGAAAGCGUGGGGAGCGAACA